AUAAUGUGGGUAUCUGCCUUUUGGUUUGGAAUAACACGGGGAAACCUGUGCUAAUACCGGAUAAGCCUUUACAGGGAAAGUUUUAACGCCAAAAGAUGAGCCCGCACUUGAUUAGCUAGUUGGUAAGGUAAUGGCUUACCAAGGCUACGAUCAAUAGCUGAUCUGAGAGGAUGAUCAGCCACAUUGGGACUGAGACACGGCCCAAACUCCUACGGGAGGCAGCAGUGGGGAAUCUUGCACAAUGGGGGAAACCCUGAUGCAGCGAUGCCGCGUGAGUGAAGAAGGCCUUUGGGUUGUAAAGCUCUUUCGUCGGGGAAGAAAAUGACUGUACCCGAAUAAGAAGGUCCGGCUAACUUCGUGCCAGCAGCCGCGGUAAUACGAAGGGACCUAGCGUAGUUCGGAAUUACUGGGCUUAAAGAGCUCGUAGGUGGUUAGAAAAGUUGGUGGUGAAAUCCCAAGGCUUAACCUUGGAACUGCCACCAAAACUUUUUAACUAGAGUGUGAUAGAGGAAAGUGGAAUUUCUAGUGUAGAGGUGAAAUUCGUAGAUAUUAGAAAGAACACCAAUUGCGAAGGCAACUUUCUGGAUCAUUACUGACACUGAGGAGCGAAAGCAUGGGUAGCGAAGAGGAUUAGAUACCCUUGUAGUCCAUGCUGUAAACGAUGUGUGUUACACGUUGGAAAUUUUGAUUUUCAGUGU
rnacentral:rRNA from 1 species